UCUGUCCUCCUUAGCUAAGCAGCGCUGGGCCUAGUCAGUACCUGGAUGGGAAACCACCAGAGAAAAAGUGGCUGACAGAA
rnacentral:rRNA from 1 species